rnacentral:rRNA from 1 species
UCGAGAAUCUUCCGCAAUGCGCGCAAGCGUGACGGAGCGACGCCGCGUGGGGGAUGAAGGCCUUCGGGUUGUAAACCCCUGUCACCUGGGAAGAAAAGGUGGCUGUUAAUAGCAGUCCAUCUUGACGUUACCAGGAGAGGAAGCACCGGCUAAAUACGUGCCAGCAGCCGCGGUAAUACGUAUGGUGCAAACGUUGUUCGGAAUCACUGGGCUUAAAGAGCACGUAGGCGGUUGAGAAAGUCUGCUGUGAAAUCCCCCGGCUCAACCGGGGAACUGCAGCAGAAACUUCUUAGCUAGAGUGUAGGAGGGGAGAGUGGAAUUCCUGGUGGAGCGGUGAAAUGCGUAGAUAUCAGGAGGAACGCCGGUGGCGAAAGCGACUCUCUGGCCUACUACUGACGCUGAGGUGCGAAAGCUAGGGGAGCGAACGGGAUUAGAUACCCGUGUAGUCC